GAGUUCUCUCUGUUCCUCCUUAUUGGAAGUCCUACCUGGGCAGGACCCCAUGUCUGCAGGGCUGCUGCGGUCCAGCACUACCUCCACGGGAUGCCUCUGAUCUCUUGCAGAUGUCUCCUAUCACCCAGACCCUCUUGGAAGCCAGAGGGCAAGGGAGCGUGAUGAUGGGGUGCACCGAGAAAACCUGCUGCACAGAGCAGGAUGGGAAGGAUGGAGAAUGUGGCUGGAGGGGCAAGUCCGUAAAACCCAGCACACCUGACGUGUGUGAGGGGGCUCCGCACUUCUGUACCCUCUCAGUGAACGUUAUCAGGGAGAUAGCCCUCCGGCACUGCUGUCCACGUGGUUUACGUCAGCUGUGAAUUCUGAUGAAACAGCACCCAGGCCUUCCAGUGGCUAAACACUUCUUUUGAGUAUCAAUUACCCUGAGCACAACUCAUAGCUUCUUCAUGGUGGGUUCACGGCCUGGCAGGUAGCCCUCUUAGAAAGAAUAAUAACAGGAAGGCUCAAACCACCCUACUGUCUGUGAUGUUUACUUGACCUUCAAGGAGCUCACAAAAACUCAGCUCUGAGCAGUGGGAGUGCAGGCAGGUUAUUCCACUGGCCCCCCUCCUCUCUCUGCCCUGCACCCCCCCCACUCCAGUUUUCUUCUCUCCCCUUGGUAGACACUGGAGGUACUUCAUCAGUCUGCUGCCCAAGCAGAUGUCCAACUGAGGAAUAAAAUCCUGGUCUCUUCUCCUUGCAA